rnacentral:rRNA from 1 species
AGAGUUUGAUCAUGGCUCAGAUUGAACGCUGGCGGCAUGCCUUACACAUGCAAGUCGAACGGUAACGCGGGGCAACCUGGCGACGAGUGGCGAACGGGUGAGUAAUGUAUCGGAACGUGCCCAGUAGUGGGGGAUAGCCCGGCGAAAGCCGGAUUAAUACCGCAUACGACCUACGGGUGAAAGGGGGGGAUCGCAAGACCUCUCGCUAUUGGAGCGGCCGAUAUCAGAUUAGGUAGUUGGUGGGGUAAAGGCCUACCAAGCCGACGAUCUGUAGCUGGUCUGAGAGGACGACCAGCCACACUGGGACUGAGACACGGCCCAGACUCCUACGGGAGGCAGCAGUGGGGAAUUUUGGACAAUGGGCGCAAGCCUGAUCCAGCCAUGCCGCGUGCGGGAAGAAGGCCUUCGGGUUGUAAACCGCUUUUGUCAGGGAAGAAAUCCUUUGGGCUAAUACCCCGGAGGGAUGACGGUACCUGAAGAAUAAGCACCGGCUAACUACGUGCCAGCAGCCGCGGUAAUACGUAGGGUGCAAGCGUUAAUCGGAAUUACUGGGCGUAAAGCGUGCGCAGGCGGUUGUGUAAGACAGAUGUGAAAUCCCCGGGCUCAACCUGGGAACUGCAUUUGUGACUGCACAGCUGGAGUGCGGCAGAGGGGGAUGGAAUUCCGCGUAGCAGUGAAAUGCGUAGAUAUGCGGAGGAACACCGAUGGCGAAGGCAAUCCCCUGGGCCUGCACUGACGCUCAUGCACGAAAGCGUGGGGAGCAAACAGGAUUAGAUACCCUAGUAGUCC